CCGAAUCCCUCAGCCCCGAUCCGCACCUCAUCUCUUCCCCGACGCCGCCGACUACUCCAAGCCCUAACCGCUGCCCUCUCCGCCGCCGAAGCCUUCACCCCUCGGUGCCCUAGCCACCCGGCGCCACCCGACCGCCUGCUUUCUGCCCACCGGCGCUGACGCCGAGCACCGCUCCUCCCCGCUGCGUACGGUGAUCCCGACUCCUCUGUGCCGGCACCCGAGCCCUAGAGCCGACGACCACCUUGUGCCCUAGCCGACUCCUUCCCGACGCCACUGCCCUAGGUUUGGGCCACAGCUUUGCAUUUCCUUUCCUCUGCCCUUUGCUGUGGAGUUUACAGCCGCCGACCACAAAUUUGCAUUUCCUCUGCCCUUGAUUCAUUCAGCACCGUCGGCCACAGUUUUCCUCAGCCUUCUCCACUGCACAGUGCUGACCACGACCUCACCUUGUGCCCUAGUGCUCUUUGCCUUUGAUCAAGUCCACGCGAUUCACCUGGUUGCCAGUAGCAAUGAGCUUGGCAGAGGAUCAUCAGAAGAGGGGCUGUGAGGAAGAGGACUGGUCGCGAGACGAGCAUCUCGAUAUCGGAUUGGACC